rnacentral:rRNA from 1 species
GAUGAACGCUAGCGAUAGGCUUAACACAUGCAAGUCGAGGGGCAGCAUAAAUGUAGCAAUACAUUGGUGCCGACCGGCGCACGGGUGAGUAACGCGUAUGCAACCUACCCAUAACAGAGGGAUAACACGGCGAAAGUCGUGCUAAUACCGCAUAACACAGGGGUCCCGCAUGGGAAUAUUUGUUAAAGAUUUAUUGGUUAUGGAUGGGCAUGCGUUCCAUUAGGUAGUUGGUAAGGUAAUGGCUUACCAAGCCAUCGAUGGAUAGGGGUUCUGAGAGGAAGGUCCCCCACACUGGUACUGAGACACGGACCAGACUCCUACGGGAGGCAGCAGUGAGGAAUAUUGGUCAAUGGGCGAGAGCCUGAACCAGCCAAAUCGCGUGAAGGAUGACGGUAUUAUGUAUUGUAAACUUCUUUUAUUAGGGAAUAAAGUGCAGGACGUGUCCUGUUUUGUAUGUACCUAACGAAUAAGCAUCGGCUAACUCCGUGCCAGCAGCCGCCGUAA